UGUGGGAAAAUGGAUAAAUCCCUUUGACUCAUAAUCAGAGGGUCCGGGGUUCGAGUCCCUGUGGGCCCA
rnacentral:tRNA from 1 species